rnacentral:tRNA from 1 species
GCUGACGUAGCUCAGCCGGUCGAGCAUCGGUUUUGUAAACCGACGGUCAGGGGUUCGAAUCCCCUCGUCAGCU